rnacentral:rRNA from 1 species
GACGAACGCUGGCGGCGUGCUUAACACAUGCAAGUCGAACGGAAAGGCCCUGCUUGCAGGGUACGCGAGUGGCGAACGGGUGAGUAACACGUGGGUGUUCUGCCCUCCACUUCGGGAUAAGCCUGGGAAACUGGGUCUAAUACCGGAGAGGAGCCAUUUUUAGUGUGAGGGUGGGAAAGUUUUUUCGGUGUAGGAUGGGCUCGCGGCCUAUCAGCUUGUUGGUGGGGUAAGGGCCUACCCAGGAGGCGGCGGGUAGGCGGCCUGGGGGGGUGGACGGCCACCAUGGGGAUGGGGUACCGGCCCGGCUCCUACGGGGGGCAGCAGGGGGGAAUUAUGGAACAUGGGGGGAAGCCUGAUGCCGCGACCCCGCGGGGGGGGUGGACGGCCUCCGGUUGUUAAACCGUUUCGCUCGGGGACAAGCUUUGUGUGACGGUACCUAGUUAAGAAGCACCGGCUAACUACGUG